rnacentral:antisense_RNA from 1 species
GUAUGUACCCCCAGAAGUACUUCCGCUCAGAGAAGAAGGAGACGGCAAGCAGGGUGUACAGGAAGGCCCAGAACCAGCCUGCUGUCAGGAUCAGAACAAAAGAGGAGGACUGCAUAUGUAUGGACCCACUCCAGAUGGCAUGGGGACGGGGGGAGUAGGAAAAGUGGCAUGAUGAGGAAAUGGAGGCACAGACUGAUUAGAAAACCAGCUCAAGGUCAUGUUGCUGAAAUGCUUCUAAGGGGCCAGGCGUGGUGACUCACGCUUGUAAUUCCAAGCACUUUGGGAGGCUGAGGCAGGUGGAUCACCUGAAGCCAGGAGUUCAAGAGCAGCCUGGCCAACAUGGCGAAACCCUGUCUCUACUAAAAAUACAAAAUUUAGCCAGGCAUGGUGGCGGGAGCCUGUAAUCUCAGCUCCUAGGGAGGCUGAGCCAGAAGAAUCACUUAAACCCGGAAGCUGGAGGUUGCAGUGAGCCAAGAUCACACCACCACACUCCAGCCUGGGUGACAGAACAAGACUCCAUCUCAAAAAAAAAAAAAAAAAAAA